UACGGAGGGUGCGAGCGUUUGUUCGGAAUCACUGGGCGUAAAGGGCGUGUAGGCGGUCCGCUAAGUCUGAUGUGGAAAGCCCCGGGGCCUCACCCCCGGAAGGGCAUUGGAAACUGACGGACUCGAGUCCCGAAGAGGAGGGUGGAAUUCCUGGUGUAGCGGUGAAAUGCGUAGAUAUCAGGAGGAACACCGGUGGCGAAGGCGGCCCUCUGGACGGUGACUGACGCUGGAGACGGCGAAAGCGUCGGGGAGCAAACAGG
rnacentral:rRNA from 1 species